UGGGCUCUAGGACACUAAGAAGUUGAAAGUAAAAAGCACUGGUCUCUGUAUCAAGGAUCUCAUAAUCUACAGAGUGAGAAAUUGGAGGUGAUUCUCCUGGGAUCUAUAUUUGAGAGGAGCGUACAUCACUGGAAGGAGAUCCCUAUUGGCCUGCUCAGAGAGAAGGAAGUGGGUUCAAUGUUAGUACAGCAAAAAUCUGAGAAUAACUUCUGUGUACGAAGGUAAAUUUCCACGCUGAGAAAAGUUAAAUAACUUUUCCCAAAGGUUCCAGAUAUUGAGGAGUUUGAAGCUGGGUUAGACUCUGAUCGUAAGUCUUCUGAUCCUUUCAUUUCAAUAAAUUUUGGUAGAAUUUAGUUGAAUUUUGCUGCUCUGUGAUUGGGAUGUGGGAUUCUCCAAGCCCACUGUUCAACCUAGAACAGGCAUUGCAUGCGAUAACAAGAAUAUUUUCCUCAGCAUGAAGAACCAUUGCUCUUCUGAAAUAACCCUCAAGCAGCCUUUCCCAAUUCUGGUUUACUUCUUACAGAGAGAAAAUGCAUAGAAGAACAUGAGUUAUUCUAAUUUCUAGAGUGUGGCCCAAUGUUAAGAUGAUAAUAAUAAUGGUGAAAUUAAUAAUGAUGAUGGUUACUCUUUAUUGAAUAUCUGCUGCAGGCCAGUUACAAUGCAGGUAUUUUUCAUAUAUUAUCUCAUUCAAUCCUCACUGCAAGUCCAUCACCCCCAUUUUAGAGACAAGAAAACUGAGGUUCCAAGAAGAUAAGUGAGUUAUCUGGGACAUUACACCUAGUGUCAGAGUGAGAAUUUAAAUGCAGGUCUCUCUGGCUCCAGAGCCUAUGCUCUCUAACCUGCCGUAUGCAUUUAUGCUGGCUUCUGGAAUAAGCUCAAGAAAGAAUAUAAAUGCCUACAUUAUAUUUAUCUAUUCAUAUCUAUUAACUCAUAAACAUGCUAAACUAAAUCAUGUGAAAUUGUUAAUAUUUGGCCAUUUUUGGACCAACAAAAAUGAUAAUUUCAUAUGGUUUAAUGCAGUGUUUCUGAAAAUGUGGUCUCUGGACCACCAGCAGCAUUACCACCUGGGAACUUAUUAGAAAUGCAAAUUCUCAGAUCCCACCCCAGAUCUAUUGCAUCAGAAACUGAGGAUGAGGCUUAGCAGCCUGUGGUUUAACAAGACCUCCAGGUGGUUUUCAAAUUUACCCAGGCAAAUUUGAAAACCACUGGUUAAUCUAAUAUAUUUAUUGAGCGGUUACUUUGUGUCACGUGCUGUAUUUUAGCCACUGGGUUUACAGCAUGAACAGAAGUGGACAUUGUUCCUGCCCUUAAAGAGUUUAUACCUUACUGGAAAGGACAGAGUUUUCACAAAUAUUGAGUUAUUCUUUUUAGUGAUAUUUAUAUUUUUAUUAGAUUUUCUAAAUCUCUGCCAAAAGACAGGAGUCUUCAGAGGCAAAAUUAGAAUGGAAAAAGGGUUGUCUUCCCAUCACAGGGGUGGGUAAGACCAAGCGAAACAAACACAGAUCCAGGGACGAGUGUGUGGGAAUGGGGCGGGGGGGCAGUGCUCAGUGCUCAGUGCAAUCGAAUCCAGACAGCUUGGGCCCCUUCUCUGCCCCUCCCCUCACCCUGCCUCUAGGGGUGGCUCUCUUGCAUUUUGAGACCUUACUGGGGGUGGGAGGAGUGCAAAAGUCCACUUUUCAGCAUGAGACAACUAGGAAUGUUCAAGGUAGGACUUGGUCAGCCUUCAGCCAGCUGGUUCAUCCAGCUACUGAUCUGCUGCUACCUCUUGCUCUGAGGAGUGUCAUUCUGUGGGCAGAUGGCAAGGUGUGCUUUAUUCCAGAACUUUGUCUUUUCAUGUGAGCUGUGCAGCAUGACAUAAAGGAUGGCUCUGCCCUUAGCAGCCUAGAGGUUGGUCUAUGUAAUAGUCACCUAGAGGGAAGAGGAGGAGGCAGGGUCAGUGGGUAUGAAGAGCAGUGACUGGGACCUUCCCAUUGUCUGGGGCGGGGGGUGGAGGUGGCGGUGGUGGGGCGGAUCCUUAAUCUGUGUUCAUUAACUCUUUGUCCUCUCAAAGGGAGACAUUCCCAAUAGUCUUCCAUUUACCAAAGCAUGAGUCCUGAGAGUUUAAAGAGCAUUACCUUGCUGAGUACUAUUUGAAGUUAUUAUCAUCCUGGGUUCAUUUUCUUAAUUCUUUACUAGCCAAAUUUUAAUAAAUAGCACUUAAGUACAAGUAAUGCAGCUUGAAUAAAUCCCUGCUCUUUUUGAAAGCAUCCUUAGGCCAUUUGUGCCACCAGGUUCCCAAAGAAAAGGGAGUAAAUAUUAGCUGAAUGUUCUUUAAAAACAACAACAACAGAAUUUCAAAGCAAUUUCAAAUAAAUGAGCAUUGACUCUCACUUGGAUUCCCUUCAUUCCAUUGGUAAUAACUUAGAAAAUAAAUUGAUAGAAAAUUUAAUGAUGGGAUUAGAACCUGAAGGUAUGCAGGGAGAGGGAGGAUGCUUUGUGACAAUUUAUGUUUUAAGUACCAGUGGCACUUUUUAUGACAUUAAAAAAGUUGCUCCUAUUAUUAAUACUUAAUUUGAAUUAAAUUCCCAAAUGUAAUUCCAGCCUUGUUAUAGAAGAAAUAAUUCACAUACACAAAUAACAGCAGUUGUGUACUUAGAAAGGCAGGCUGAAUACAAAUCCUGCAUUAGGAAUGGCAGUCCCAUCUCUGAGAAUAUCAGAAGAGUGCUCAGAUAAUCAGCACAGGUUCUUACCCAAUUGAUUAAAUUAUAUUUUCUCUGCUUUUACUGGGGAGGGGUGUGGAUUCUAAAGAUUAUGAAAUCAAUGCAAGCUGCUCUUGAAUUGUAUUAUUUGCUUGAAUUCAGGAUCCAGAUUCUUCUUAUCACCUGAAAGACAAAUCAUAUUUUUCUCCUGGAGGCUGUCAGAAAUUCCCAGAGUAUGUUCAAGUAUUACAUGAAUAAUUCAUUUUACUCACUACACAUUACAGCACUUAACAAGGGCUGUGGCCAGAAUCCCCUCCUCAGGGAAGCUAAUUUGGAGCAUCAUUAUGGCUCUGAUUUCUCAAUGUUUAACACUUUUAUGACCUACCUGAUGAAGUCUUCCUGUCUUUUUCAGUCGUUUUAGAGAAACAAUUCAAGUUUAAAAUUUCAUCGAGUACAUUCUUGGAAGGAAAUAAUCCCAGCCUUUCAUAUUUACUCCACCCCUACUCCUGAAUAAAAACACAAAAAGACAAAAAAAAAAAAAAAAAAGACGCUUUUGAAUAUAAACUCAAUAUAGUGCUCACAAAUAUUUCUUUACAAUUAAAAAUCAAAUGACAUGAUUUAAAUGUCAUGUGUGUAUUCCUCCCUGAAUUUUUCAACAUUAGAACAUGACCAGGAAAACCAAUUGUGUGAAUAUAUGUGGACACCUCUUAGAACUCAGUAUAGAGUCUUCUUUAUAUUUUCCUUAAAUUUUUUUCUUACGGCUCUUAUGGGAAUACGUAUGAACUUCCAUGUUGCCAUAAAACCUCAGUGCUGUCUUGGUUUUAAUUUAUUACCACAUGGGAUGUGUCCUACCAGAGAGCAGAUGGGCUUAUGUACUAUUACACAUGCUAAAUAUAAAAAGUCUGAAGGCAGUGCUGACUACCCAGUUGACUCUACAGAUGAACGUCAGUCUUCAUGCCUUACUCUCUUUCUCUCAGUCCACAACCCCACAAGACAAACCCUUGGCCAAAUUGAACACUUAGAUACUUCAGGUGGGAACUAGGGAAAUCCUCAAUGACUCUAUAUGAAACACAGCUGAGUAUCUUUUCCAGACUGAUUUAGUUUUGAAUAUCUAGAGGAAAUCCCAUUUUACUCACAUGGGUUGGCUAGAUAAGCUUGUUCUUAGGUAUACUUUAAAAAGCUCUAUGGGGUGUCCCUAAAAAAGAAGAAAAAAUGAACUUCUUCAUUUUUAAGGGCACUUGGCCAAUAUGCAUAUGAAAAGAUGUUCAAGUUUACUAGCAGUCAGGGAAAGGCAAAUUGAAAAUAAGCAAUAUAUCACUUCACACUCAUCAGCCUGGCAGAAAAAGAAUAGAGCUUUUGCAUGUAUUGCUGGCUAGGAUGUGGGGGAAAGGGUACUUUCAUACAUUGCUGGUGGAAAUGUGAAGCAUUACAGCCUUUUUGGAAAGCAAUCUGGCAGUAUAUUAAAAUUAAAUAUAUACACACAAGCAAUAUACUCGUAAGAACCUAUCCCACAUAAAUAAAUGCACUAGGUAUAAAGACAUAAAUAAGUGGUUCUUUAUUUCAGUGUUGUUUGUUGUGGCAAAAAAAGGAAAUACAGUAAAUUUCUAUUAAGAGAAUCAUUGAGAUCGGUUCAAGAUGGUGGAAUAGAAGGACCUGUGCUCACUCCCUCUUGUGAGAGCACUGGAAUCACAACCAACUGCUGAACAGUCAUCGACAGGAAGACACUGGAACUCACCAAAAAAGAUACCCCACAUCCAAAGACAAAGGAGAAGACACAAUGAGACAGUAGGAGGGGGCGCAAUCACAAUAAAAUCAAAUUCCAUAACUGCUGGGUGAAUGACUCACAAACUGGAGAACACUUAUACCACAGAAGUCCACUCACUGGAGAGAAGGCUCUGAGCCCCACAUCAGGCUUCCCAACCUGGGGGUCCGGCAAUAGGAGGAAGAAUUCCCAGAGAAUCAGACUUUGAAGGCUAACGGGAUUUGAUUGCAGGACUUUGAAAGGCCUGGAGGAAACAGAGACUCUACUCUUGGAGGGCACACACAAAGUAGUGUGUGCAUCAGGACCCAGGGGGAAGGAGCAGUGACCCCAUAGGAGAAUGAGCCAGACUUUCCUGCUAGUGUUGGGUGGGUCUCCUGCAGAGGUGGUUGGGGGGGUGUCUGUGGCUCACUGCAGGUACAAGGACACUGGCAGCAGAGGUUCUGGGAAGUGUUACUUGGCGUGAGCCCUCCCGGAAUCCACCAUUAGCCCACCAAAUUGCUGGGUAGCCUCCAGUGCUGGGUCACCUCAGGCCAAACAACCAGUGGGGGGGAACUCAGCCCCACCUAUCAGCAGAUGGAUUAAAGUUUUACUGAGCUCUGCCCAGCAGAGCAACACCCAGCUUUACCCACCACCAGUCCCUCCCGUCAAGAAGCUCUACAAGCCUCUUAGUCUCAUCCACCAGAAGGCAGACAGCAAGAGUGAGAAUAAGUGCUACAAUCCUGCAGCCUGUGCAACGAAAACCACAUUCACAAAAAGAUAGACAAAAUGAAAAGGCAGAGGACUAUGUACCAGAUGAAGGAAUUAGAUAAAACCCCAGAAAAACAACUAAAUGAAGUGGAGAUAGGCAACCUUCCAGAAAAAGAAUUCAGAAUAAUGAUAAUGAAGAUGAUCCAGGACCUCAGAAGAAGAAUGGAGGCAAAGAUCAAGAAGAUGCAAGAAAUGUUUAACAAAGACCUGGAAGAAUUAAAGAACAAACACCUAGAAGAAUUAAGGAACAAGCAAACGGAGAUGAACAAUACAAUAACUGAAAUGAAAAAUACACUAGAAGGAAUCAAUAGCAGAAUAACUGAGGGAGAAGAACGGAUAAAUGACCUGGAAGACAGAAUGGUGGAAUUCAUUGCCAUGGAACAGAAUAAAGAAAAAAGAAUGAAAAUAAAUGAAGACAGCCUAAGAGACCUCUGGAACAACAUUGAACACACCAACAUUCACAUUAUAGGGGCCCCAGAAGGAGAAGACAGCGAGAAAGGACCUGAGAAAAUAUUUGAAGAGAUUAUAGUUGAAAACGUCCCUAACAUGGGAAAGGAAAUAGCCACCCAAGUCCAGGAAGCACAGAGAGUCCCAGGCAGGAUAAAACCAAGGAGAAACAUGCCAAGACAAAUAGUAAUCAAACUGACAAAAAUUAAAGACAAAGAAAAAUUAUUAAAAGCAACAAGGGAAAAAUGACAACAUACGAGGGAACUCCCAUAAGGUUAACAGCUGAUUUCUCAGUAGAAACUCUACAAGCCAGAAGGGAGUGGCACGAUAUAUUUAAAGUGAUGAAAGGGAAGAAGCUACAACCAAGAUUACUCUACGUGGCAAGGAUCUCAUUCAGAUUCGAAGGAAAAAUCAAAAGCUUUACAGACAAGCAAAAGCUAAGAGAAUUCACCACCAAAUCAGCUCUACAGCAAAUGCUAAAGGAACUUCUCUAGGUGGGAAACACAAGAGAAGAAAAGGACCUACAAAAACAAACCCAAAACAAUUAAGAAAAUGGUAAUAGGAACAUACAUAUCGAUAAUUACCUUAAAUGUGAAUGGAUUAAAUGCUCCAACCAAAAGACACAGGCUUGCUGAAUGGAUACAAAAACAAGACCUAUAUAUAUGCUGUCUAUAAGACACCCACUUCAGACCUAGGGACACAUUCAGACUGAAAGUGAGGGGAUGGAAAAAGAGAUUCCAUGCAAAUGGAAAUCACAAGAAAGCUGGAUAGCAAAACUCAUAUCAGAUAAAGUAGACUUUAAAAUAAAGAAUGUUACAAGAAACAAGGAAGGACACUACAUAAUGAUCAAGGGAUCAAUCCAAGAAGAAGAUAUAACAAUUAUAAAUAUAUAUGCACCCAACAUAGGAACACCUCAAUAUAUAAGGCAAAUGCUAACAGCUAUAAAAGAGAAAAUCGACAGUAACACAAUAAUAGUGGGGGACUUUAGCACCUCACUUACACCAGUGGACAGAUCAUCCAGGCAGAAAAUUAAUAAUGAAACACAAGCUUCAAAUGACACAACGGACCAGAUAGAUUUAAUUGAUAUUUAUAAGACAUUCCAUCCAAAAACAGCAGAUUACACUUUCUUCUCAAGUGCACAUGAAACAUUCUCCAGGAUGGAUCACAUCUUGGGUCACAAAUUAAGACUCGGUAAAUUUAAGAAAAUUGAAAUCAUAUCGAGCAUCUUUUCCAGCCACAACACUAUGAGAUUAGAAAUAAAUUACAGGGAAAAAAAUGUAAAAAACACAAACACAUGGAGGCUAAACAAUACACUACUAAAUAACCAAGAGAUCACUGAAGAAAUCAAAGAGGAAAUCAACAAAUACCUAGAGACAAAUGACAAUGAAAACACGAUGAUCCAAAACCUUUGGGAUGCAGCAAAAGCAGUUCUAAGAGGGAAAUUUAUAGCAAUACAAUCCUACCUCAAGAAACAAUCUAACCUUACACUUAAAGGAACUAGAGACAGAAGAGUAAACAAAACCCAAAGUUAGUAGAAGGAAAGAAAUCAUAAAGAUCAGAGGAGAAAUAAAUGAAAUAGAGACAAAGAAAACUUUUUUUGAGAAGAUAAACAAAAUUGAUAAACCUUUAGCCAAACUCCUCAGGAAAAAAAGAGAGGACUCAAAUCAAUAAAAUUAGAAAUGAAAAAGGAGAAGUAACAAUGGACACUGCAGAAAUACAAAGCAUCAUAAGAGACAAGCAACUCUAUGCCAAUAAAAUGGACAACAUGGAAGAAAUGGACAAAUUCUUGGAAAAGUACAACCUUCCAAGAUUGAACCAGGGAGAAUUAAAAAAUAUAAACAGACCAAUCGCAGGUAAUGAAUUUGAAACUAAUUAAAAAUCUUCCAACAAACAAAAGUCCAGGAUCAGUUGGCUUCACAGGUGAAUUCUAUAAAAUAUUUAGAGAAGAGUUAAUGCCUGUCUUUCUCAAACUCUUCCAAAAAAUUGCAGAGGGAGGAACACUCCCAAACUCAUUCUAUGAGGCCACCAUCACCCUGAUACCAAAACCAGACAAAGAUAUCACAAACAAAGAAAAUUACAGACCAAUAUCACUGAUGAACAUAGACGCAAGAAUCCUCAACAAAAUACUAGCAAACAGAAUCCAGCAACACAUUAAAAAGAUCAUACACCAUGAUCAAGUGGGAUUUAUCCCAGGGAUGCAAGGAUUUUUCAAUAUACACAAAUCAAUCAAUGUGAUACACCAUAUUAACAAAUAAAAGAAAAAAAAAACA